CUGAGCAGAGCCUGGCACUCGAGAACCCUCUUAAUAAACAAUAACAGAAGCAGCGCAAAAAAAUCAACGUAGCAUCGCAUGCAUUUUUUUUACCAAACUGGGAUAUGAAAAUCAUAUGGUCCGUAAACAGACUGAUGGUGCAGAACAAAAUGCGAAGAUCAUGUGGUCUGACAUUCAGGGUGACGCAUGCCAGAAAACAAAACAAAACAAAACAACUCUCUGAGUUCUGCAUAAAGACCAGAACUUCUGUUUGGAUAGAGGAGAAUAGAUCCAGUCUUGAUUUAAGGACUUAAUGUCUCCACACUCAGGGGCAAACUGUUCCAUUCCUUUCUGCCCAAAUAUGCCCAUGCAAGGCAUGGUUGUCAUUCCUCUGACCGCUGCAGCUAUCCUCUCCUUGGACCUGCAAGCCAAACUCGCUGCACAGCUGCUGGAGAAAGCCAGCUUCCCACUGGACAAAUGUCUCUGAACUUUGUCAACUCCAUUGCACUGUGAAUUUCAGUGUUGCAAAACUCCUAUCUGACGUGCAGUGAUAAGAUAUUUUCUUCACGUGUAUUUCAACCUACUGCUUAUCUAAAAGAGAAUUAAAGAAAUGAGACGUGCUGUCACUUAUCCUCAGGCAGGGGCCCAAAUCGGACCAUAUGACUUCCCUGGUGGACGGUGCGCUCGCAGCGACCUGUGAGCAGAUCUGAGUUCUGCUUUCUAUCCUUCACAGAGAGGGGAAUCACCUCUGUGUUCUACUUACCCAGCUUGUGUUCAUCAAAUGCAGGUAUAAUUCAAUCAUAAGUAUACUCAAACCACUCUGAUGUGAUCCAGGACCUUUUUUUUUUUUUCGAAAGAUUCCUUAGUCUUUUUCUGGGAAACUGACCUACAGAGUCCUACUAAUCCAAACAGAAGAUACAGGCUAAUAUUUGAUAAGUCUGCGGCUGUUUUCAAAACAAUGAUUUUUAUGACAAAGAUGCCAAAAACUGUGGUAAAAACAGAAAAUGGUUGGUGAGCAUCUAAAAAAGUGUGGAAAACACUGACCUUUAUGAGUAUUUACUCCACUCUGUACAAUUGUCUAAAUGUAACACUGACAGUUUUAUUACUUAGUGUAUUGUAAUAAACCAAAAUUCAAUAUUCUUGUUUCACUACAACUAUUAUUUUGGAGCAUCUUGAAACAUGAUGCUCUUCAUGUCCAGAAACAUAAAAUACAGCAAUUCAAGAUACACCACACUGUUUGCCAAAUAGAUUUUGACAAAAAUGCUUCAUCAAUAUAUUACUGAGAAUGAAAAAUGAACGUCCCCAUUUUAUAUAUUCUCUCAGGAGCCUACCAACCUCUCACUAUGCUCCAAGGGAAAACUCAGUGCUUCUGAAAUGAUAAAGUCUUUCAUGCAACCUUUCAAGAAGGCUUCAAUGCCACAUGUCCAUAAUUUUUCAUUUAUGUUUUUUAAAAGGAACUUUUCCACGAACUCAUAUCUGGCAUAUUUUUGAGUAGUAAUCAUAGCAAAGCAGCACCUUGGCUGCAUACGUAUUCAUUCCUGCAGAGAUUUGCAUUUUGAUUUUACCUGUAUGCGUAAUGAAUUUUGACAGCUCAGUCUGUCAGUAAAAACAAAGGCUGUCUUCAAAGAAUAGGUCUGCUGAUGCACUACCCAGCUGAACAUGCUACAAAAGUCUAACAGUUUCAUUAGGGAGAGGAAGGUUUUGAAUCUGUUUGUCCCCAUUUCUUAACUCUGG